rnacentral:tRNA from 1 species
ACUUUCAAAGGACCACAGCUUUGCCCGCCAACCUUAGGAGUUGGCUACUCUUGGUGCAACUCCAAGUGAAAGUA